rnacentral:rRNA from 1 species
CCUACGGGUGGCAGCAGUGAGGAAUAUUGGUCAAUGGGCGCGAGCCUGAACCAGCCAAGCCGCGUGAAGGAUGACUGCCCUAUGAGUUGUAAACUUCUUUUGUAAGGGAGUAAAGACCUUUACGUGUAGCGUGUUGACAGUACCUUACGAAUAAGCAUCGGCUAACUCCGUGCCAGCAGCCGCGGUAAUACGGAGGAUGCGAGCGUUAUCCGGAUUUAUUGGGGUUAAAGGGUGCGUAGGCGGGCUGAUAAGGUAGUGGUGAAAUUUUGGGGCUCAACCCCAAAAAUGCCUUUAAUACUGGAGAACUAGAGAACAGAUGAGGUAGGCGGAAUGCGUGGUGUAGCGGUGAAAUGCAUAGAUAUCACGCAGAACACCGAUUGCGAAGGCAGCUUACCAGACUGAAUCUGACGCUGAGGCACGAAAGCGUGGGUAGCGAACAGGAUUAGAUACCCGAGUAGUC